GUGUCAGCCGCCGCGGUAAUACGUAGGGUGCGAGCGUUAAUCGGAAUUACUGGGCGUAAAGCGUGCGUAGGCGGUUUUUCAAGCUUGAUGUGAAAGCCCCGGGCUUAACCUGGGAAUGGCAUUGAGGACUGAGAGGCUAGAGUGCGGCAGAGGGAGGUGGAAUUCCACGUGUAGCAGUGAAAUGCGUAGAGAUGUGGAGGAACACCGAUGGCGAAGGCAGCCUCCUGGGCCGACACUGACGCUGAUGCACGAAAGCGUGGGGAGCAAACAGGAUUAGAAACCCUCGUAGUCC
rnacentral:rRNA from 1 species